rnacentral:rRNA from 1 species
AGAACGAACGCUGGCGGCAGGCUUAACACAUGCAAGUCGAACGCUCGUAGCAAUACGGGAGUGGCAGACGGGUGAGUAACGCGUGGGAACAUACCCUCCGGUUCGGAAUAGCUCAGGGAAACUUGGAUUAAUACCGGAUACGGCCGAGAGGCGAAAGAUUUAUCGCCGGAGGAUUGGCCCGCGUUCGAUUAGCUUGUUGGUGAGGUAACGGCUCACCAAGGCGAUGAUCGAUAGCUGGUCUGAGAGGAUGAUCAGCCACAUUGGGACUGAGACACGGCCCAAACUCCUACGGGAGGCAGCAGUGGGGAAUAUUGGACAAUGGGCGCAAGCCUGAUCCAGCCAUGCCGCGUGAGUGAUGACGGCCUUAGGGUUGUAAAGCUCUUUCGCUCGGGACGAUAAUGACGGUACCGAGAUAAGAAGCCCCGGCUAACUUCGUGCCAGCAGCCGC